rnacentral:pre_miRNA from 1 species
CUUGUACUCUCUCCAUCCAAAAAUACUUGUCAUUGAAAUGGAUGUAUCUAGAUGUAUUUUAGUUCUAGACACAUCCAUUUUGAUGACAAGUAAUUCCGGACAGAGGGAGUACUUG